AUUGAACGCUGGCGGCAGGCCUAACACAUGCGAGUCGAGCGGAUGAAGGGAGCUUGCUCCUGGAUUCAGCGGCGGACGGGUGAGUAAUGACUAGGAAGCUGACUGGUAGUAGGGGAUAACGUCCGGAAACGGGCGCUAAUACCGCAUACGUCCUGAGGGAGAAAGUGGGGGAUCUUCAGACCUCACGCUAUCAGAUGAGCCUAGGUCGGAUUAGCUAGUUGGUGGGGUAAAGGCCUACCAAGGCGACGAUCCGUAACUGGUCUGAGAGGAUGAUCAGUCACACUGGAACUGAGACACGGUCCAGACUCCUACGGGAGGCAGCAGUGGGGAAUAUUGGACAAUGGGCGAAAGCCUGAUCCAGCCAUGCCGCGUGUGUGAAGAAGGUCUUCGGAUUGUAAAGCACUUUAAGUUGGGAGGAAGGGCAGUAAGUUAAUACCUUGCUGUUUUGACGUUACCAACAGAAUAAGCACCGGCUAACUUCGUG
rnacentral:rRNA from 1 species